CCCUUAGAUGUUCUGGGCCGCACACGCGCUACACUGAAGGAGGCAGCGUGUACUCCUGGAUCGAAAGAUUUGGGUAACCCGCGAAUCUCCUUCGUGUUAGGGAUUGAGGUUUGCAAUUAUCCUUCAUGAACGAGGAAUUCCCAGUAAGUGCAAGUCAUAAGCUUGCGCUGACUACGUCCCUGCCCUUUGUACACACCGCCCGUCGCUACUACCGAUUGAAUGAUUUAGUGAGGACUUCGGACUGGGACCGAUGCGGCUUUCGGGCUGCGUCGGUAUUCUGGAAAGAUGUCCAAACUGUAUCAUUUAGAGGAAGUAAAANUCGUAACA
rnacentral:rRNA from 1 species